GGCGGGUAAAGAACUUCCGCCUCUGAACUGACAGCUCCCCCAACCUCGGGCACAUCUUAUAUCUGCUUCCUAGGUUUCUAGCUGGCUGGAGGCCUGCUUCUGGUUGACCAUUAGAACUAAACGGGAGGACUCUAAUGCUGACAACACACCACUAUUUGCAAAAAACCAGGAAAAUCAAGCCAGCACCUUGCAGCUGAGAGCCAUUAAGCGUCCUAGCCAGUUAUGAACCCUGUAAUAUCAAUAUCGACCUGCCAAUCAUGACACACCCAUUGGUAUAAUAGUGGAAUGGGAGCUAUGGUUGCAACAAACUUCUUAUUGCAUUUAAGCUCUCUCUCCAGGAAGGCACUCAAUGGGUGAUAGUGUAAACUUGCUCAAAAGCCCAACGCUGGGGAGGGCAUAGGCCCCGAGCGAGAACUGAUCUGUUGUUUUGCUUCGUGGACAUAAUGUCAGGCUGCCUUACAAAUAUCUGUGUUUAUGCUCAUACAUGAGUAUGAUCUCAGAGAUCAGUGCUGGUCAGGGAAGCGUCUGUUUGCAGCGGUUGAUACUACAGACGCUGAGAGUAAGUGCUGUCUGUUACCCAUCCAAGGCAUGGAGAAUAUCACAAAGGAUAGGAAGAAUACAUGCACUGGAAAGUGGGAAGUGAUGCUGUGAAUGCUGUCCUCUGCACACGAUAAAGCUCUUGAGCUCACAAACCUGCAGAAAAUGGGUCCUCUGGACACUAGACAAUGAGGCCCCACCCUUCCAGAGGAGCUAUUAAGAACUGAUGGCUUGCUGGGGCAGAGUCACUGUCUUCAGAGAUAGAGCCACGGAUAAACUGACCAUGGUACAGAAAACUAUAACUCUCACCAAUGUUAAGUCAACUAACCGUAAUUAGGGUCACAAGGUCGCAGACCAACACAGACUGAAGGGAAAGUCAGAGGGGACAUACUGAGACCCGGGUUCAGCAGUAGUAGGAUGGGAAUGGCUGAGUGUAAGAGUGGGUGAAAAGAUCAAAACAUACAUAUACGAAAUUGUGAAAAUUACAAAUACGAAAAAUACAAAUAGUAAUGGCCAGUAUCUGAAGGAGGUGUGUCCUAAGACCUGCAGUGGAAAACAGUGGCUAGUAGUUAGCCUAAUAUAUACUAUGGUUUCCCUACUCAUACAUACGAGGAACUCUAAUUAGUUAAGUGGACCCAAGAACUAUAACAGGACUGUAACAGUGAUAUAUAAUGAGUCAGUUUCUUUCUGUCUCAACGUCACAGUAUACCACACUCCACUUUCUUCUUCGACUGAUGUGACGUCACAUAGCUGGUAUACAAAGAGAUUAUAAGAAGUGAAUUAUGGAUUAGCAUGUACUUCAUGAUAUUACUCAGAACUACCCACAAUUUAAAGGUUAUGAAUAUUUAUCUCUAGAAAUUUUCGUUGAAUGUUUUCAGACACCAGUUGGACUGAAACCGCAGAAUCCAUAAUGCAAGCAAGGAUACAGCAUGAGUUAGCUGAACCUGCUGGACAUACUGGGACAGCUUGACUGGAAUAUAUCGGCCAUGCUCAAAGCCCACAAAACUUGGAUAGAUUUGUCGGAAACCCUUUGGGAGGUGAAGCAAAUUCUUUUGUUGUCACGCAUUGAGCAAAUAUCCUUAUGAUUGCCACAUAACUGUGCUGCAUGCUGGUGGAGCUGCUUCUCUGGGGUCUCACGGAUGACCAUUCUUCCAUGGACCCUACAUGCACUGUAUUGCUGAAGACUGCAACAGCCACAUUUUGUCUGGACUUUGUCCUGCUGGGAGUCUGAUAGCUCUCCUCCCGCCAGACAAUUUUGCCUAGGCCCUAGGAAUGUUGGAAAGAUUUCUUGGAAUAUACACGGAGAAGUCUACUCUUCUCUCCAGCUUUUAUACUCUGCAGACCUGGAGUAUUAGCAACACAUAGCUUGAGAUCUGUUUGUGACUUCUCGUCAGCAGAGGGAGAUGGUAUUGCUGUAAAGGCAGAGAAGGGAAUUCUGGAAGAGUUGGGGCAGGCCCCUGGGUUCCGACACACAGAGAGCAGAGGAAACUGAGUCCCUUAGCUCCCAAAGCAGGGGCAGUGCAGACCCAAUGUCUGCUUUACCAUGCUGUUUCUUGGGUCUCUGAAGUAUCAAGACAGUGGGAGGCUUGACCAUGUUCCCGCCCCUCUCAGCUGGCCCGACAGUGCCAGAAAGAAAGAUGGCGGGUGAGGAACAUCCGGUCUGCCUCCCGGCGUUCCUGAUUGGACCGCAAGGAUACUAACCAUGUCUGAGCCCCGGGCUCCGUGAGGCCCUUAGGGAUGCUCCCGGUGUGAACGGCCAUCCGUUUCUCCCUCACCUGACAGACAGUAUCACCAUCACAGCCCGACAAGAAGAAAGAUGUCUGGUGAGGAACUGCCGCUCCAUCAAUCGGCGCUUCUGAUUGGAUAACUCACGCAACGAUCCGCGGUACUGAUUGGAUAGCGGUCAGAGCCCUCCCUCUACACUGUGCCGGUGGUAAGCUCUGAUUUUAAGAGGCCGGCAUAGUGACACGUACCUGAUAUCUCAGCAGGAAGAGGCAGAGAGAACGUCACAACUUCAAGCCCUGUGCAGGAGAUAUAUAAAGACUGUCUCAAAAACCAAAGAGGGAGAGAAGAAAAACUUACACUGCUUUCAUUAUGUUUAAAGCAUUAUUUAAUCUUUUUCUUUUCUCCCUUACAAUAGGUCUCAUUACAUAGCGCUGGCUGACCUAGAACUCUGUCUGCUUCUGCCGCCCCCUCCCCACGCCCCGUGCUGGGAUUUAAAGUAUUCACCACCUUCCCCAGCAUUAUUGUAAUCCUUUUAAACGUAUGCAUACUUUCUAACUUCCUAUUUUUGCCUGGCAAAUGAUCAAUGGAUCACUACAAACAAAAUACUUAUUAAGCACACUUGAGUCUAUUUCCUUCCUCUAGACCUGGAAUAUUUGAACCACCCUUCUUUAUCAUUAUCCUAAGAACAGGCUGACCUUAGGGGUAAAUGACAUCUGGUAUAGCAUCUGAUUUCAUCACCCUCUCAUCAUUCCCUCUUCUCUACCAAUUUCUUACCCUGAUUUGAUCCUCCCUACAAAGAAAACUCCUUUCUGCUUAACCCUUAAGAUAUUUGGCAGUUGAGAGCCCCUCCAUACCAUUGUGAUGUACCCGUCAAAUAAUGUCAUGGUCUUCAGCAUUUUUUUUUAAGGAGAUUUAUUUUAUAUGUAUGUUUUGCCUGCAUAUAAGUUGGGGGCACAAGAGGAAAUAAAGCUGCAAAAGGUGUUUUGAUAGUGCA